rnacentral:rRNA from 1 species
CCCGCUGAACUUAAGCAUAUCAAUAAGCCGGGAAGGAA